rnacentral:rRNA from 1 species
AUGGCGACGGCGGUGUCGGCGCCCGUCUCUACGGCGACGGUGCGGGUCUCCAAUAUCCCGCCCUCCGCCGUCGCUAAGGAGCUCCUAGCAUUCUUCAAUUCCGCCGUCGCCGCCGCCGGCGAAGCCUACGCCUGCGAGAUCGCCGCCGCCCGACGCGGCUGGUUAAGUCGAGGCGAUGGGAGCGUUCAGUUCGAUUCCACCGCCACCGCAACCCUCGCCGUCGAACUCGCCUCCUCCGGUCGCCUACCCCGCUUCCUCGGCUCCCUCCUCUCCGUCUCCCCUGCCCCAGGGGACCUUCUCCCCCGCGCGCCGGACCUUUCUCUCCGCGUGGUCGACGCCCGCCUCCUUGUAGGCAACCGCGUCGCCGAGCGCGAAUUGGAGGCGGCUGACUCUUGGGACGGCGUCCGCGUGGAGGUCAUCCCAGCGAAGCGGCGGAUAGACCUGUACCUGAAUCACGAUUCCCAGAGGUACAAGCUGGAGGUUUUCUUCGAGGACAUCAGGAACUGCUACCGGUGCAGCUUCGAUGGGGCCGACGCCAUCUUGCUUCAGCUCAUGUAUGCACCAAGGAUAUGCACAACAAUUUCUGGGCCUGCAGUUUAUUCAAGGUUCUCAGAUGACCGCUUUCAUGCAUGCAAGGAGGAUGCAAAAUUUACCUGGGUCAGAGCACUAGAUUUUACACCCAACCACUCUUUUGGGAAGUGUUCAACUCUUGCCCUCGUACUUGAUGAAGGUGCACCGAUGUCAUUUAUUCUCAACAGCUUACCUUUGUCAGGAGAAUUAGGGAAAUUGGUCAUUUCUUCAAUGGAAUUUUUUGGCCCGUCGUCCAAAGUCGUUCCCCUUGUUGACUGCCCAAGUGGUUGUUCAGUGUCAUAUGAAGUUCUUUUUCGUCUCAAUUCUCUCGUUCACAUGGGGAAGAUAGUUGCCAAGGAUGUUAAUGCUGAUCUGUUUAAAGCACUUGAAGAAAUACCACUUCAUAUUUCAAGGAGGAUUUUUGAGAAAAUGAGCAAGUUAGACUUCACAUGCUAUAAACCUUUGCAAUUCAUCCAGCAGGAGGCUCAUAGCAGGAAGAGGAGCCAUGAUGCUUUGCUUUCCAGUAAGACUGAAGGUGAAGGAAAGUUAAUUAUGUGUUACAGAAUUCACAUCACUCCAUCCAAAAUAUACUGCUUGGGACCUGAGGAAGAAGUUCCAAAUUAUGUGGUUAAGCAUCACAAACAGCAUGCUUCUGACUUUGCUAGAGUUACUUUUGUCGAUGAAGACUGGAGUAAGCUUUUUCCAGAUGCUAUCUCUGCUAGAAUUGGACGAGGGUUAUUUUCUCAACCCUUGAAAACUGGCCUAUAUUAUCGUAUUUUAUCCAUCCUGAAAGAAGGAUUUUCCAUUGGUCCAAAGAAGUAUGAAUUCCUGGCCUUCUCAGCAAGUCAACUUCGUGGAAGUUCUGUCUGGAUGUUUGCUUCUAAUGAUUCCCUGAAGGCCGAGGAUAUAAGAAGGUGGAUGGGCAACUUUGAAGAUAUUCGUUCAGUAUCUAAGUGUGCGGCUAGAAUGGGCCAGCUGUUCAGCUCCUCCAGACAAACACUUGAAAUCCUACCACGGGAUGUAGAAGAGAUUCCAGAUAUUGAAGUCACAACUGAUGGCAGUAAAUACAUAUUUUCUGAUGGUAUCGGGAAGAUCUCUGAGAGACUUGCUAAAGAAAUGGCUUGCCGAAUUGGAUUAGACUAUACUAACCCUCCUUCAGCUUUUCAAAUAAGGUAUGGUGGCUACAAAGGAGUUGUUGCUGUCGACCCUGAUUCCUUUCGCAAUCUUUCUCUGCGACCUAGUAUGAAGAAAUUCGAAUCAAAGAGCAGAAUGUUUAACAUUACAAGUAGCAGCAAAUCCCAACCAUGCUAUAUGAAUCGUGAAAUUAUCUCUCUCCUUUCAACUUUGGGGAUAAGAGAUGAGAUAUUUGAGUUGAUGCAACACGAUGAUAUGCGUGAAUUAGAUGAAAUGCUGACCAACAGAGAAGCUGCUCUCUCUGUUCUGGGGAAAAUUGGUAGUGCAGAAACGAAGACAGCAUCGAAAAUUUUACUGCAAGGUUAUGAACCGAGUUUAGAGCCUUACCUGUUGAUGAUUCUUAAGGCCCAUCAGGAUAAUAGGCUGACUGACAUAAGAACUAGAUGUAAGAUUCAUGUUCCGAAAGGCCGUGUUCUUCUUGGUUGUUUGGAUGAAACAGGUGAAUUAGAAUAUGGUCAAGUGUACAUCAGAAUUACAAAGAACAGCAAAGAGCAGAAGGAUAAUCGUCAGCCAUAUUUUGCUGAAGAUAAUGGAAAAGAGAAAACAGCAGUUGUUGUUGGAAAAGUUGCAGUAUCGAAAAAUCCUUGUCUCCAUCCUGGUGACAUCAGAGUACUUGAAGCUGUCUAUGACCAUGGUUUGUACGCUAAGAACCUGGUUGAUUGUGUUGUCGUCCCCCAAAGAGGAGAAAGGCCUCAUCCAAAUGAAUGCUCCGGGGGCGAUUUGGACGGUGACCUCUAUUUUAUCACUUGGGAUGAGAAACUGAUUCCAGAGAAGGUUGAUUCACCCAUGGACUACACUGCAGCAAGGCCACGCAUAAUGGAUCAUGUUGUUACACUUGAGGAAAUUCAGAAGUACUUUGUGGAUUACAUGAUAAAUGACUCGCUCGGUGCAAUCUCAACUGCUCACUUGGUCCACGCGGAUCGUCAUCCAAUGAAAGCCCGGAGCCCUGAGUGCCUCCAGCUAGCUGCUUUGCAUUCGAUGGCGGUCGACUUCGCCAAGUCAGGAGCUCCAGCUGAAAUGCCCCGGUCACUGAGACCAAAGGAGUACCCUGACUUCAUGGAACGGUGGGACAAACCAACGUACAUCUCCAACGGAGCUCUCGGCAAGCUCUACCGAGCGGCUGCGAGCCGUAUGCAGAGCGCUCCUGCCCCCUCGUCCUCGGCUCAACCGAGGCCCGCUUUCGAUCCUGACCUGGAGGUCCCUGGCUUCGAGGAAUUCCUGGCAUCCGCGGAGGAGUGCUAUGACCUGUACGCGGAGAAGCUGAGCACCCUGAUGAGCUACUAUGGUGCGGAGCACGAGGACGAGAUCCUGACGGGCAACAUCCGGAACAGGCUCCUGUACCUGAAGAAGGACAACAAGAGGUACUUCGAGAUGAAGGACCGCAUCAUCGACUCGGUGGAUGGCCUGCACAAGGAGGUGCAGGGUUGGUUCAGGAGCCGCCCAAAGGCCGAGGCGUCGAGGAGGGCGUCGGCGUGGUACCGCGUGACUUAUCACCCGGACCACCGCUGGCCGGGAAAGAAGCAGUUCUGGAGCUUCCCGUGGAUCGUCUGCGACGAGCUGCUGAAGAUCAAGGAGUCGAGUAAGCGGCGCAGGCAGCAGGUGGACGGCGCGGCGGCCUGA